GACGAACGCUGGCGGCGUGGAUUAGGCAUGCAAGUCGAACGGUAUCAUCCUUUCGGGGGUGAGAGAGUGGCGAACUGGUGAGUAACACGUAGGUUAUCUACCCUCAAGACGGGGACAACCCAGGGAAACUUGGGCUAAUACUGGAUGUGAGCAACUUUUAGUUGUUUGAAAGGUGGCGUAAGCUGUCGCUUGGGGAUGAGCCUGCGUCCUAUUAGUUAGUUGGUGAGGUAACGGCUCACCUAGGCAAUGAUAGGUAGGCGGCCUUAACGGGUGGUCGCCCACACUGGGAUUGAGAUACGGCCCAGGCUCCUACGGGAGGCAGCAGUCGAGAAUAGUCUACAAUGGUCGGAAGACUGAUAGUGCGACGCCGCGUGAACGAUGAAUCCCUUCGGGGUGUAAAGUUCUUUUAUAUGUGAGCAGUGCUUCUUAUAUUAACAGUAUGGGGAGAGAGAUAUUAGCAUAUGAAUAAGCAACGGCUAACUCCGUGCCAGCAGCCGCGGUAA
rnacentral:rRNA from 1 species